CUACGAGAUGCAGCAGUGGGGGAUAUUGCACAAUGGGCGAAAGCCUGAUGCAGCAACGCCGCGUGAAGGAUGACGGAUUUCGGUCUGUAAACUUCUAUCAGCAGGGAAGAAAAUGACGGUACCUGACUAAGAAGCCCCGGCUAACUACGUGCCAGCAGCCGCGGUAAUACGUAGGGGGCAAGCGUUAUCCGGAAUUACUGGGUGUAAAGGGUACGUAGGCGGCUGAUCAAGUCAGAUGUGAAAGCCCGGAGCUCAACUCCGGGAUUGCAUUUGAAACUGGUCGGCUAGAGUGCAGGAGAGGAAAGUGGAAUUCCUAGUGUAGCGGUGAAAUGCGUAGAUAUUAGGAAGAACACCAGUGGCGAAGGCGGCUUUCUGGACUGUAACUGACGCUGAGGUACGAAAGCGUGGGGAGCGAACAGGAUUAGAUACCCCGGUAGUC
rnacentral:rRNA from 1 species